rnacentral:sRNA from 1 species
AUUGAUUUCCAGAUACCAUCUAACCUCCAAUGAAUGAUAACCAUUUCUCUGAUAGAAAAAUUGGUAUGCCUUUGUGUUUUAUGUGGCAAUAACCACCUACACAGUGGCUGACGUUGGAGUAAAAAUUCUUUCUUCAUAUUCAUAUGCAGGUUUAUGAAAUAUGUUGCAGUUUUUUUUUUUUCUUAAGGCCUAGUUUUUAGUAUGUGCCAAGAGUUGGGACUUUGCAACAAUUACACCAUGAUGUGUGCAAUUUUUUGCAGGUGUAAAUAUGAACAUAUAAGUAAGGAUGGAUAAAUUGUUCCCUUUGUAUUUCUAAAUAUCAGAUAAAUAUGAUUAUUACUGAUACAACAUAAAAACUGCUUUUGCAAAAAAUAAAGUUGAAGAACUUUAUUUUUUAGGUUGAUUCAGACAUGUCAAUAAAGCAGAUUAAUAAAGAAUCUUCAGUUUAAUGACUGAGAUAUAAUGUUUUACUUACAGAACCAAUUUAGAACUUGAAUUGAUUCAUCGAGGAGGCAAUUUGUGUUCAGGUGGUGCAAGCACAGCUGGCAAAAGGUCUUGUUUAAAUCAGCUGUUUCAUGUAUUAGCCUUGCACAUGCGGCUUUAUAGCAUUGACUCUGAGUAUAAUCCCUGGAGAAAGCUCACCCAGUUAGAAGAGAUGAAUCCACAGCUGGGAUAUGAAGAACAACAGCCUGAGGUUCCAAUUCUUUAUCAUGAUGUAACAUCCCUUUUGCUCAUCCAGAUCUUAAUGAUGCCACAACCCUUACGCAAAGACCACUUUACCUGCAUUGUGAAGGUACUUUUUACCCUACUGUACACACAGGCUCUUGCAGCACUCUCAGUUAAAUGCAGCGAAGAAGAUAGGUCAGCCUGGAAACACGCGGGAGCUCUCAAAAAGAGUACAUGUGAUGCAGAAAAGUCUUACGAAGUAUUACUGAGCUUUGUGAUAAGUGAACUAUUUAAAGGAAAGUUAUACCAUGAAGAAGGAACUCAGGAAUGUGCAAUGGUUAACCCUAUUUCUUGGUCUCCUGAAUCCAUGGAAAAAUGCUUACAGGACUUCUGCUUACCUUUUCUCAGAAUCACCAGCCUUCUUCAGCACCACCUUUUUGGGGAAGAUUUACCUAGCUGCCAGGAAGAAGAAGAAUUUUCAGUUCUUGCCAGCUGCCUGGGACUUCUGCCAACGUUUUACCAAACAGAACAUCCAUUCAUCAGUGCCUCCUGUCUGGAUUGGCCAGUUCCAGCAUUUGAUAUUAUAACUCAGUGGUGUUUUGAGAUAAAAUCAUUUACUGAAAGACAUGCAGAACAAGGAAAGGCCUUGCUUAUCCAAGAAUCAAAAUGGAAAUUACCACACCUACUACAGUUGCCUGAGAAUUAUAACACCAUUUUUCAGUACUACCACAGAAAAACCUGUAGUGUCUGCACCAAGGUUCCUAAAGAUCCUGCUGUUUGCCUUGUGUGUGGUACUUUUGUAUGCCUGAAAGGACUUUGCUGCAAGCAACAAAGUUACUGUGAAUGUGUACUGCACUCUCAGAACUGUGGUGCAGGAACAGGUAUUUUCCUUUUGAUCAAUGCAUCGGUAAUUAUCAUCAUUCGAGGUCACCGCUUCUGCCUCUGGGGUUCCGUGUAUUUGGAUGCUCAUGGAGAGGAAGACCGGGAUCUUAGGCGAGGCAAACCUCUCUACAUUUGUAAGGAAAGAUACAAAGUUCUUGAGCAACAGUGGAUUUCUCAUACUUUUGAUCACAUCAAUAAAAGAUGGGGUCCACAUUACAAUGGGCUGUGACUCUCCACCUCAGCAUUGCAUCGUAUCAUCAUUUUCGCUACGAAUUUAUUUUUCAACAAUAAGCUUUAACUUAAUUUGGGGGAUUAACACUUUUGCUGAGGGAGAAAAAGAAAACAUACAUUAUGAAGCCUUUCCAAAAUUAGGUGCUUGGUAAUCACGUUAAUGGUAUAAUUUUUUUUUUUAAUAUCUGGAGAACAUUAAUAACAAGUUAAAUUAUUCUUUAGUGGUCAUUUUUUAAGUGCACAAUUAAUAAGAAGCACAACUUGUUCACAAACUCAUUCAGAAAUGAUUCUCCCAACAAUGCAUAUCAGCUAUUCAUUGAUACUUAGAGUGGGUGUGAUUUAUUUGACAUUUUACUGCUUCUUUCUGUCUGUGUGUUUUAAUUUGCAUCUGCCAAGCAUAAUGCAUCUUUUUUCCUCUGCCAUUCUUGUAUUGAUUUGAGAAUUUUUCUGUAUGUAAUUAGAAAAAAAUGUAAAACAUGAUUUAUGUGAAAUACUGUAUAGUAAAAGUUGGUCUAAUAGUAGAACUUUAAAAUUUUUUCUUAUUGUGAGGAAUCUGUUAAAAGUUUAAGGCUUUGCUGAAAACUGAAUUCAUUCUCAGGAAUUUCAUAAAUCUUCUCCCCAGGUAAAUAAUUGAAAUAGCUGUAAAAUAAGUAGAUAGCUGCUGUUAAUAUAAUACAGUACAUUUUGGGGGGCAUAUGUGUGGUUGGGGGGUCCUUAAAAAUCAAAAUUUGCCAUUUCAGUUGGACGAAUUACUAGAGGUAAUAACAAAUCUUACUAUAAAAUCAAGAGGUUUAAGAACAUACACUGGGCAGAUGUUGAUUCCGUGCAUGCCCACCUUUUAUUACCAAACAAGGUUUUGUUUAUAUGAUUGUAUUAGAAAUGCUCAGACUUCCCCAGAAAUGAACCAUAAAUUUUGGAACUUCCUUUCAGCUCAAGAGGUUCAGCUAUAUUGUAUUUGUGCAGUGUAAUCACUACUAUUUCUGCUCGGUUUCCUAAAAGGAAAAAAAAAGGCGCAGUGGUGAUGACCCUCAUGAAUGAGCCAUGCUUCUGCAUUCUUCUUAGAAACUGCUGUGAAAAACAAUUUAUGUUUGCAGGGUUUAAAAAUCAGUAAAAAUGGGAAUGAUUGAGCUAAAACCCACUCUAUGAGAAGGAAGAUUACUGAAAAGCAUGUGACAUAUUGCUACAAAGAUUUUUUUUCCUAAAUGAUUGAGUAAUUGAAUGAUUAUUUAAUAUAUAGUGCUAUCAAGCAAUCCCUGGUACUUUGGACUUCCAUGGCUUGUUAUAUAAAAUUACAUUUUUACAUGUAAAAAUAAACUAAACAAAUCUAAUGAUAAAAUAUAAAAAUAAUGUCAGAUCCAUGUUCUAAAAAAUUUUUGUAAUGACAUGACAUUACAAGAGUAUAAAAAUGGACAUUAAAUGAUGGCCUUGCAUUAAAAUAUGGAAAGCAGAGCAGUACAUAUUCAAAUGUAUUCAGAAAGUCAAAAGAUUACCUAUAGUUCUACAAUAAAAUACAUGGAAAUAGCUUGCUAUUUUUAUAUACAUUUCCAAAAUAUUAAGAUAACUUUCUGUAAGAGUCAAUGAUUCUGUUCGACUAAAUAGCUGUCCUUUCCAACACAUUGCUACUUUUUUAAAUACUGUAUCAUAAGUUCAGCCUGUCAUACUUUUUGCAUUGAUCAUUAUGAAUACCAGACCAUUUGUAAGUGUGGUUGAAGAGCAAAAUGCUAAUUGACAUCUCUAGUAAAUACUGUUACAGGAUUCAUGAACUUGAAUAAUUCUACAGUUUGAAACUCUGAUGCUAUAUAUACAUGGUAUAAUGUAUUCAGACUUUGAUUACUACUUAUUUAAAAUGGAAUGUUUUAUGGUUGUGCAUAUGGAUGUGAAGUGAAAAUAUUAGCCUUAACUUUAAAAUUUGGGUGUUUGAUAGUGUUUAUUUUGAUAUUGGUGAAUUAGUCACCAGUAAAUUUUAAAAAAGCACUUGGUUGAAAAUUGUACUUGAAUACAUACAUGCAUGCUGCUAAACUAGAACUUUAAUUUUUCCCCAUAACUUUUAUAAGUCCCAUUUAUAAACCCACUUUUAAAAAUAACAGGUCCAAGUUAGAGUGAUGUGUGUAUAUUAUUCAAAAAAAUGUACUGGUGUGAUAUCUUGUAUGAAUGAUCAUUUAAAUACAGUACAUUACUGUAGAAGCUAAAUUGAUCUUUAUAAUUAAGCAGAAAUUACAAAACUAGGAAUAAUCAACAUUGUAAGAUAUGUUAAUAAAAACCUGCUGUCAUUUGGUUUGUGAAAGGUCCUUAAAA